AGCUAGUAACUUUAACACAUGUAACAACUCCGAAGUACUAUUUCAAUUACAACCAUCAUAGUGUGAAGCAACUAAGGAUGAAACUAUCUGAACUUGAAUUUUCGAAAGCUGUUCGAUCGUCUCAUGAAGGAAAGCAGAACUCUUGACAGUACAUGCCAUAAAUCUUUACGCCCAGACUUUAUUCAGAGACAAGUACUGACUCAUGUCAGCAUCAUGCACGUGGACGAGAACCAAAUUUGAAAUGUUACUGUCUACACAUCGUGCCAUCUGGAGGUUGUAAACAAAGAUGGCUUAUACUUCUGCUCUGCAUACGAAAGAAUUGUGGCGUACCCUGAUAUAAGACUUAACUGGAACAAUUAAAAUUGUACUACAUGAUAGAGAGAUUAGACAGUUAAUUGGCAAAAGAGCACGACAAAUUGUCCAAGAGGUAAAG